UGGGGAAUAUUGGACAAUGGGGGCAACCCUGAUCCAGCAAUGCCGCGUGUGUGAAGAAGGUCUUCGGAUUGUAAAGCACUUUCGACGGGGACGAUGAUGACGGUACCCGUAGAAGAAGCCCCGGCUAACUUCGUGCCAGCAGCCGCGGUAAUACGAAGGGGGCUAGCGUUGCUCGGAAUGACUGGGCGUAAAGGGCGUGUAGGCGGUUUACACAGUCAGAUGUGAAAUCCCCGGGCUUAACCUGGGAGCUGCAUUUGAUACGUGUAGACUAGAGUGUGAGAGAGGGUUGUGGAAUUCCCAGUGUAGAGGUGAAAUUCGUAGAUAUUGGGAAGAACACCGGUGGCGAAGGCGGCAACCUGGCUCAUGACUGACGCUGAGGCGCGAAAGCGUGGGGAGCAAACAGGAUUAGAUACCCUGGUAGUCCACGCCUGUAAACGAUGUGUGCUAGAUGUUGGGUAACUUU
rnacentral:rRNA from 1 species